CACCCGGAAAUGCCCGAUAUGCCACUAAGGGAUACGAUUCCACUUGAUGAAGUCGAGAUUCAAAGCGAUCUCACUUAUGAAGAGAAACCAAUCAAGAUCUUGGAUACAACUGAGAGGCAUACUCGUUCCAAGACCAUCAAAUUCUGCAAGAUUCAGUGGAAUCAUCACACCGAAGAGGAAGCUACGUUGGAACGCGAGGAUGAUCUUUGAGAAGACCACCCACACAUUUUUGCUAACCAACAGGAAUCUCGAGGACGAGAUUCAUCUUAAGAGGGUUAGAUCUGUAACAUCCCAAUUUUCAAAACCCUUCAUAAGCAGUCACCUUUACAUUUAAUCACAUUUAAAACCCUAAAAUUUAAUUCAGAGAAACCCAUUAACAAAGGUGUUUUUAUUUGAAUUUGGCUUUUUACCGUUCUUUUGUUAAUUGCAUUUUAAACCAUGAGGGUGUUGACAUAAAAAGGAGUUUAAUGCAUUUAUAAAGCUACCCCAUUUAUUGGUUUUUGAAUUGGAUUUGAAACUCAAAAUAUUUCAUUAGCUAUAAAGCCCUAAAGGCAAGUUUAUAGGCAAAAUUAAUUUUAAAUAUUUUAUUUUGAGGGAAUUCUUGUCCCAAAAGUUGAAUCAUAUGAGGAUAUGAUUUUACAAUUUUUGUUGCAUUUUAUUUGACUCGAUUUGAAGCUUUAAAUCAAAAGUUAGAAUCAAAAACAGAAAAUAGAAAAAAAAGAAAGAAAAAAAAGUAUCGUACCGAUCCAACCGGGCCGGCCCACUUACCCGAGCGCCGCGGCCCAGCUCCCGCGCGCCCGAGCCGCCCGUGCCACUGCCAUACGGGCCCCACCCGUCAGUUUCUUCCUCUUCCUCCUCCAACUGCCAAGCCCGUACUUCCCGGCCACGACGCCCGUGAGCACGCGCAGGAUUCCACCCUGAUUUCUCCGUGUCCACUCCCCCAAAAUCUUUUCCAAGCGCGUCAGUUUGAAGCCCCGACUCUCCUCUUCUUUUCCCCUCUCCUCUCCCUCUCCAUUGCGCCCCCAGGCCGACAAAUUGCUCCGCCGAAAUCCGCACUGCCGCCGCCGGUGACAAAAAGGUCCAUAGCUGCCGUCACCUUACCUAUCCCCUUCCCCAUCUUCUCGCACACGUUUUGACGCGGUUGUUUUCUUCGUUUUCGCAUCGUAGCGUCGAGUUCGCCGCCGACCCGAAGUGGACGUCGCCGGCGCCGUCAUCCCGAGGAGCUAGAGCUCACCCUCGUCCGCCCCAAGGAGAACCGAGACCCUGAGGAGCUUCGCCGGAGCGAGGCGCACCUCCCUCACCUUGUCCCGAACCCAAGAGCACACCGGAGCGCCCGCG
rnacentral:lncRNA from 1 species